GGGGCGCCGGCCGGGGCAGGGCCGGUCCCGGCCGGCCGUCGUUGGCGCUGGCGCGUCUUUGCGCCGGUCCGGAGCUCCUGCCCGUCACCGGCCCCGCAUGUUGUCAGCAGCCGCUGGCGGCCCGGGCCUUAUGGACCGCCAGACACGUCACGGCCGCCGCCGGCCAAUCAGCGGCUCGCGGUCCCCUGGAAACCAUUAAGCAUCGGGCCGGUCCCGGAGAGUGCGCCCAGACCGCUGAUGGAGCCUCAGCCGCGGGACCGCGCCGCCCGCCGGAGCCCCUCCUGCUUCGGCGAUGUUGUAAGGAUGAGAUGAGAUCAUUGUUUCCAAAGGGCUGUGGAAAAAUACGAGGGCGAUACAAGUACAGAGGAGCAGCCUCGAGGGGCCCGGAGGUAGCCGGUGGAAGACACGGGAGGGAGAGACGUCCUUCUGGCUCCAGCCCGCGGAGAGGCUGGGGUGGUCCUGCCUUUUUGUCCCCCCUGCCCCUCAUCCCCCCCCCCUCAACUUUCCUCCCUCCCCCCAGUCACCCUGACUUUCUGGGUAAGGGGCGGAGGAGCCCUGAGCUCGUACCGUGUCUGAAGGUCAUUUUUCAUCAUCAUUCAGCCUGCAAAGUCCAAAGGGACGAGUGUGGGAGGUCCCCCCUCAAAAAAAAAUAGGGGUUGGGGUGAGCACUUGUGACAGCCUGGGGGUAGAUGAGGUGGGGAGGGGGCUUCUACAUCCGGUGGGGUGGGAG